rnacentral:tRNA from 1 species
GCAGAAACAACUUAAUGGUAGAGCAUAGACUUGUCAAGACUGAGUUUGAGGAUUCAAGUCCCUCCUUUCGCU